CGGUCGUUCGGGUGUUGUGCUCUCCAUACGUCGUAUAGAUUAUAUUCCAAAAGGAGUUUAACCAAUGCAGUAGCCUGUUUUCCCAGUGAUUUACAUCGUUGGGAUUCCGCUGACUGUGUAGUAUCUAGUUUGGGUUGCAUUACAUGGUUCAGAUCUCCACAUAGGAUUGUGGAGGAGGGGUAGGUGGUUGGGAUUUUGUGUAAUACUUUUUGCAAGAAAUUUCUCUGAUCAGUAUUAGGACUAUAUACUCCCACUAACGUGUAUAAUGUAUCAUUAAUUUUGCAGUGUAUUAUGAGAUAUCGACCCUGUGUGUCUUUUUUGAGGUUUAGUAGUUCAAAUGUAACUGACACAUGAAUGAGAAAGGAUACACCUCUUGAUUUGGAGGAGUGAGUGGAGUGGUACUGUGUGGGGUAGUCCCUGCUCGCGAAGGUGGGUACCCUGUUAUGUACAAAAUGUGUCUCUUGUACGCAUAAUACGUCUAUUUUUGUGCGUUUUGCGUCUUCAAUGAGGAGUCGCCUUUUGUGCGGGGUAUUCAAUCCGCGGGUGUUAAUAGUUUGUAUUUUCAUAAAUUGUGUUUGAGUUUGUCACUGUGCUAUAAAUUAAGGUAGUAUUUAAUAAGCGUUUGUUUAUAUUAAAUAGGAAGCUGUGUGUCUCCCUUAGUAAUAAGCAAGGUAUGCUUAACGCAGCAAUUGUACUGUGUUUGAUUAUGUGGGUAGAUGGGUGGUAAUGUUGGCAAGUUUUUCUGUCAGCCUGUCUGGAGAUUUGAAGCCGAUCACGGGCUUCUUGGGGUGGGGAGAGGAAACUUGGGGAAAGAAAUAUAACUAUAUACAGAGUGUCUCUCUUGGAGACAGUGUGUGGUUGUACCACAUCCAGGGGACAGAAGAGAUGUCUCUCUUCCAUUAGCGUGGCUAUUGGACACCUAUGUCCUCAAUCGUAGGUUGCAUCCACCUUGCCAUAGGUAUGUGUGCGCACGUGGUGUAAGUUCCAGCAUUGAUAAUGUCUGCCUCGUCUCGGUAGUGCUAGGGUAGGCUCCUCCGGAGCCAAGCUGAGCUAAGCUCCGCCCAAGGAUUUACAGUAAAUUCUUAUGGGUUAUUGAAUUGGUGGUAUUUACCCGACUCCUGUUGGAUGUGAGUCUGGUGUGCAUGUGUGGCUUAACAAUAUACAUAUUUUAGUACAGAUAAAGAUUCAUAAUAUUCCCAAGAGUUAAGCUACUUAAGGGAGAAUAAACAUUUCCCCAACUGCACUGUCAACCCCCCCCUUGCCGGUAUCAUCACCCGUUCCCCGACUUCUAUCCCACGUUGUCCCCCCCCCCAAGUCCCUCAGUUCGUAUAUGGUGGGAGCCUGGUUCCCAGGCCCCCCAAUACCUUGUUGGGUCGCUGGACGCCAGUCACGUAGCUCAGUUCCGAUGGGUUGACCCAUUUGUAGCUGUGCUCGGUUCUCGGUUGUGUGAAUGGGUCUUUAAAGUGGUCCUUUGCUAAGGUAUGGGGACCUGUAAAUCAGAGUCUCAGGGUGGCCGGAGUGACUUCCGAGGGGUGAGGGAGGAAAGGGGGUAUCUUCUGUUCGGGCUUAGAUCCGGUCCAGGGUCCCCCGCACUCUUUCCGCUGCUCUGCUUGCGCCUCGUCACAGGGAUGUCGGGAGACCCUGGCCCGGCACUCCACCUCCACCCCAUUGGCCGGUGUCCGGCAUCGCACAUCAAAAAAGAGAAAAAAAGUCAUUGUUGGUGGGCUAGUCGAUUACAUAUCUGCCAAAUGCCAAUGUACAGUCUGUACUCAUGUAUGGGCCAUCGCCCGCUGACCAGUGUUUCAACCGGUGUUAAUGUUUUCCGUGGGUCUUCUUCCAGUCUUGUUUGAGUGUUGCUGCUUGGGUUGAUGUCUGUGUGGGUGGUUCUACCUGUAUAUCCCAUGCCUGCAGUUUCUUCAC